UUCUUACCUAUCUAUCUAUAUUCGGACUUUUUAAAAUUCAGGAAUGGAUGUUGAAUUUUAUCAAAUGUCUUUUGUAGCAUCUCUGGUUAUCAUAAUAUGGCCUAUUUCCCUACAAGCUAUUAAUUUGCUGACUUGGAUUACUAGAUUUUUAAAUAUUGAACCAUCCUUAUACUCCUGAGAUGAUCUCAUUGGGUUACAGUGGGCUGCUGAGUUCUAUAUGCUCAAGUGCUAUGUGUGUUUGCUUUUUAAUAUUUUUCCUUAAUAAGAUUAGAUUGUGGUUUAUCUUGUGUUUUGAACUUUCCCAAGGAAGCAACCCAUGCUUUUAUUAGCUUCAUUUUUCCCAAGUAAUUUAUACUUUUUAUUUCUGAAUUGGAAUUCCCUCUGGAUUGGAAUCUCUCGGGAAAGGGCAUGAGCAAUGGAUUGUCACAAGCAUCCCAGAUACAAGCAUCUUCAAGAUCUCCUUUUGGAAAUGGCUCCCCAGUCAGACCUCUAAAGGGUGGGAGGCUGAUGGGGCUGCUGCCCAAGACUGCACUUCGUGAAUCCUGAGGAUGAGGACUUUGUUUCCUUCGCCCAUUUCUGUGAUGCUCAACAGGUAAGUUGUAAGUGCUUAGGAAACAGAUUCAGACUCUGUGCCAAAAACAUCUUUCAAAGAUUUCCUCAGCCAAGUUGGAAAAAUAAGAUGCCCCAAAGAGAACUUACUAGUAACUUAGGGUUCUUUGUCCAACAUAUACUAACAAGGAUAGCAGACCAUAACCUGUCCCAGUGAACACAGCAUUCCAUUUGGUUGUAGUUUUUGCAAGCAUAGGGAUUCUGCCUAAUUUUUAAUAAGUUGAACCUUGCAGUAAAAGGAGAUUUUUAUCUACAGAAUUGAGUCACUAGAUCUGGUUACUGGUUCACAUCUGAAAAUAGUUAUACUCUGUGGAAAGCCUCAUCUAUCUGUCGGAACACAGAAUCAUUGUAUUACAGUCAAGAACACAAGGUGGUAAUUUGUUUAGCUCCAAACAGUACAGGGAGAUGGAGGGUUGCAGUGCUUGGGCAGUAGCUGUCUUUGUAGAAACACACCACCUUUCCCUAUCUAAAUAAGGUGCGGAUGCCAGCACUCCUUAAAGGGCAGCCAGGGAAAGAAGUUCUUGGUGUUUCUAUAAAGCAAACUUCUCUGCCUGCUCUCCAAAUGCACUCAGGGCUGGUGAGCUCAAGGUCAAGUUUCUGCCUGGCCUCGUGUUCCAGUCUCUAUACUGGUGUGGCCACACCUUAAAAUUCCUUUCCGCAACCCAGGUUCUCUCCAAAGCUUCCCGGCCAGAAGCCAGGUCCUUCCCUGUUACCCUGGAGCUUCAAGGGAUAAUAACCCUGGUGGGCCAGCCUGUCAGCUGUGACAGGGCCCAGGUUAUCCCUGCAAGCCAAGCAUAGGCUGGACCAGAAGCCAGGCUCUGGCCUGAGAGCAGGGGUUCCAGAAAAUCACUCGAGGUCCUACCUGGGGUCUCUUGAGCUGUGUCUGGUACCAUAACCAUAGCCAUGGGUAGCUGGGGAACUGCUGUCCAAUAAAGCCUCCUUCAAAAAGUAAACAUCCUGUCCAGAAUCCCAGAAAGCAUGAUAUUUCAAGUUCACUAAACUUAUUAAAAGCACAAAAAGCCUUCCUUCCAUGGAAAACUCAGUGAUGGUUUAAAAACAAAAAAAAUCACGCCCACUACAGCGCACUGCGCUGUAGCAAGCAUUCUGCAUAAAUUAAUAAUUUACAAGUACCUGAGCAAGUAAAAGUAUACAGAGCACCAUAGCACAGCACAGCACCGACGGCAGUAGCUCAAAGUUCUUCAAAUCAUGGUGUUUGAAACAUUAAAACAAAUUCUAAAAGUUGGUACAAAAAAUAACUCCAACUGGAGUUGAGAGAUAGAUAGUGCAAACUUCUGUCUUCAUUGUUGAACAACGGUGUUGGCUUGCUUCUCACUUUGCAUAGGCGAUGUGGGUGGCUCUGGGCACUUGAUGGGGCUGUUUGGAAGCAGGUCUGCAGGAAGAGCAACCAGAGAGGAGAAAACAAAACUGUAGUUAGAGGAGGCCCUGCCAGCGAUUUCUGCAGACACAGAUGCCUGGGUUGGAGAUGCCUUUUCUUGCACUGUGAUGUCCUUCCAGGAUCAGACCCCCACCCCCUGCCCUGGGGGCUGGAGACCCCUCUUGCUUUCAGCAGGAAUUGCAGGUCCCAGAAGGGAUCACGCUGAGAGCUGCAGCAUCUUCAGCCGUUUAUGACCCUUUCCAAAGCUACUGCUCCCGUCCGUCCACGGGAGAAGAGUGCCAUUCAACAGAAAAAUGGUGCAAGCCACAAAGGGCCAGCAUAUCUUAUCUUCCACCAGCCACAGUGUACCCAGCAGCGACUGUAUUAGUGCCGCUCCAGAGCGCAAAGCUGGGCCUGUGGGAUCCCUUGGAAACGAACAUACAGAGGAUUCUCCUUCCGGGAGGAGACCAAAACCAGCUCGCACUGAUGUCAGCAACUGGCAGACCUAAGCAACUGGCCACUGCUUGAGGUCAUUUAAAAAGAGAGCCUUCCCCAGAGGAUCUAAACAGACAUUUCUCCAAAGAAGACACACAGAUGGCCAAAAAGCACAUGACAAGAUGCUCAACAUCACUAAUUAUCAGAGGAGAAAUGUAAAUCAAAACUACAAUGAGGUAUCACCUCACACUGGUCAGAAUGGCCAUCACCAAAAAAAAUCUACAAACAAAUGCUGGAGAGGGUGUGGAGAGAAGGAACCCUCCUACACUGUUGGUAGGAGUGUAAAUUGGUGCAGCCACUAUGGAGAACAGUAUGGAGGUUCCUUAAAAAACUAAAAACAGAGUUGCCAUAUGAUCUAGCAAUCCCACUCCUGGUCAUAUAUCUAUCUAUCUAUCUGGAGAAAACCAUAAUUCGAAAAGAUACAUGCACCCCAAUGUUCAUUGCAGCACUAUUCACAACAGCCAAGACAUGGAAGCAACCUACAUGUCCAUCGACACAGGAAUGGAUAAAGAAGAUGUGGUAUGUACACAAUGGAAUACUACUCAGCCAUAAAAAAGCAUGAAAUAAUGCCAUUUGCAGCCACAUGGAUGGACCUACAGAUUAUCAUACUAAGCGAAGUAAGCCAAAGACAAAUAUCAUCUGAUAUCACUUAUGUGUGGCAUCUAAAAUAUGGCACAAAUGAACUUAUCUACAAAACCAAAAAGACUCACAGAGAACAGACUUGUGGUUUCCAAGGGGGAGGGAAGGGGAGUUUGGGGUUAGCAGAUACAAACUAUUAUAUGUAGAAUGGAUAAACAAACAACAAGGUCCUACUGUAUAGCACAGGGAACUAUAUUCAAUAUCCUAUGAUAAACCACAAUGGAAAGAAUAUAUGUAUAACUGAAUCAUUUUGCUGUACAGCAGAAAUUAACAUUGUAAAUCAACUAUACUUAAAUAAAAAAGAGAGGCCCUUCCCCUCUUCA